rnacentral:rRNA from 1 species
CACGUAGGGUGCGAGCGUUGUCCGGAAUUAUUGGGCGUAAAGAGCUCGUAGGCGGUGUGUCGCGUCGGCCGUGAAAACUUGGGGCUUAACUCUGAGCGUGCGGUCGAUACGGGCAUCACUUGAGUUCGGUAGGGGAGACUGGAAUUCCUGGUGUAGCGGUGAAAUGCGCAGAUAUCAGGAGGAACACCGGUGGCGAAGGCGGGUCUCUGGGCCGAUACUGACGCUGAGGAGCGAAAGCGUGGGGAGCGAACAGG